rnacentral:rRNA from 1 species
GACGAACGCUGGCGGCGUGCUUAACACAUGCAAGUCGAACGGAGUGGCGAACUGGUGAGUAACACGUGGGUGACCUGCCCUGCACUUCGGGAUAAGCCUGGGGAACUGGGUCUAAUACCGGAUAGUGUGGGAUGGGCCCGGGGCCUAUGCGCUUGUUGGGGGGGUAAUGGCCUACCACGGCGGCGACGGGUAGCCGGCCUGGGAGGGUGGACGGCCACAUUGGGACUGAGAGACGGCCCAGAGUGCUACGGGGGGCAGCAGUGGGGAAUAUUGCGCAAUGGGCGGAAGCCUGAGGCAGCGACGCCGCGUGGGGGAUGACGGCCUUCGGGUUGGAAACUCCUUUCACCAUCGACGCGGUAGAUGGAGAAGAAGCACCGGCUAACUACGUGCCAGCAGCCGCGGUAAUUC